rnacentral:rRNA from 1 species
AACAGGAUUAGAUACCCUGGUAGUCCACGCCGUAAACGAUGUCGACUUGGAGGUUGUGCCCUUGAGGCGUGGCUUCCGGAGCUAACGCGUUAAGUCGACCGCCUGGGGAGUACGGCCGCAAGGUUAAAACUCAAAUGAAUUGACGGGGGCCCGCACAAGCGGUGGAGCAUGUGGUUUAAUUCGAUGCAACGCGAAGAACCUUACCUACUCUUGACAUCCAGAGAACUUAGCAGAGAUGCUUUGGUGCCUUCGGGAACUCUGAGACAGGUGCUGCAUGGCUGUCGUCAGCUCGUGUUGUGAAAUGUUGGGUUAAGUCCCGCAACGAGCGCAACCCUUAUCCUUUGUUGCCAGCGGUUCGGCCGGGAACUCAAAGGAGACUGCCAGUGAUAAACUGGAGGAAGGUGGGGAUGACGUCAAGUCAUCAUGGCCCUUACGAGUAGGGCUACACACGUGCUACAAUGGCAUAUACAAAGAGAAGCGACCUCGCGAGAGCAAGCGGACCUCAUAAAGUAUGUCGUAGUCCGGAUUGGAGUCUGCAACUCGACUCCAUGAAGUCGGAAUCGCUAGUAAUCGUGGAUCAGAAUGCCACGGUGAAUACGUUCCCGGGCCUUGUACACACCGCCCGUCACACCAUGGGAGUGGGUUGCAAAAGAAGUAGGUAGCUUAACCUUCGGGAGGGCGCUUACCACUUUGUGAUUCAUGACUGGGGUGAAGUCGUAACAAGGUAACC